rnacentral:rRNA from 1 species
AGCAGCCGCGGUAAUUCCAGCUCCAAUAGCGUAUAUUAAAGUUGUUGCAGUUAAAAAGCUCGUAGUUGAAUUUCGGGACCAAUAUGUCGGUCGUGCUUCGGUACGUACUUGCAUUAUUGGUUUCUCCCUUCUGAGGAACCAUGAUGUCAUUAAUUUGGUGUCGUGGGAAAUCAGGACUGUUACUUUGAAAAAAUUAGAGUGUUUAAAGCAGGCUCGCGCUUGAAUACAUUAGCAUGGAAUAAUGAAAUAGGACGUUUGAUUCUAUUUUGUUGGUUUUCUAGGAUCGACGUAAUGAUUAAUAGGGAUAGUUGGGGGGCAUUAGUAUUCAAUUGUCAGAGGUGAAAUUCUUGGAUUUAUUGAAGACUAACUACUGCGAAAGCAUUUGCCAAGGAUGUUUUCAUUAAUCAAGAACGAAAGUUAGGGGAUCGAAGACGAUCAGAUACCGUCGUAGUCUUAACCAUAAACUAAUGCCGACUAGGGAUCGGAUGAUGUUAUUUUUGAUGACUCAUUCGGCGCCUUA